AUGCCUUCUCCUUCCAAUGCCCUUCCAUCCAAAGCCGAGCUACAGCCUUUCCUCACCCCUCGCGAUCCAAUCUAAUCUAUUCCCCUAUUCCUUCUCUUCAACCUUUAAAUCUCCAAAGCCUCUGUGAUCCAAUCUGGUUUUCUUUUUAGCCAUAUUGAUGAAUCAGACUGGAGCUUGGUGGUGCAGCGGAGGAAGUGUAUAGAUGACAGUUUCAAGCAGAUUGGCUGGCCGCUGUUGUCAUUGAGGAUACAGAGUUCUUGGGUGCAGUUGGCCCCUUGGAGCAGAUUAUGGAGAAGAUGGAACAUCUACGUCCUCCUAGGCUGCACUCUAAUUGGUGGGUGUGUGGACUCUAUGGACGUUGUAGCACAUGAUCAAGUAUGGAGGAUGAGCAGAAGGAGGAAGCGAGUUGGGGCAUGGAUCUGAUGCACGUAAGGGGCCUAUCACAUUAUAAUUAUUUUCCUCAUGUUGUUCAGAAUCAACAAUGGCGCUGACAUGGAAUCCAAUUCCCCAAUCGCUCCACUCCCUGGCGACUGCAGCAAUGGCGAACUAUUGUGGACUGCUUCCGGCCUAUGAGGUAGAAGAAGAGAUCAUGACACCCAGGAAGAAGGAGGGUCUCUACAAAAACACACUCAUGCAAAGUCCAUAUCGUGUUCCUCUUCGGAUCGGCUAUUCUAUUGUUCAAUCGAUCCACAACUGAUCUAGCCUCCGCCAGGACAGCCACGGGCGGCUUUACUUGAAGUCCUGCCACAUGCCAUUGCGAAGAAUUUUAUGGGAGUCUAUUCUGACCUUCUUGAGCCUUUCCUGGUGUGGACCCCACCUGCCGCAUGCCAUUGCUAACAUGUCUAAUUUUGUAGGACAAAGAGACGAAGGCAAGCACGUAGGGUUGCUAGCACUGAUGCCCACUUUGUCGGAGAAACAGUAGGAACACAAGCAUGUUAUUUUUCUGAUGAUAAAAUCUUCCAAGUCCGCUGAUGUUGUUCGCAUCUAUAUCAAGCUAUAUAUUUUCUAUUUGUUCACUAGAUGCCUGAUGAAAUUCCUAUCGGAGCCAACAAUUUAUUUUACUACCAGAUAUAUCUAUCAAACUCUGAGGACAAGAUCAUCAAGUCUCAGAGUUAGCAAUAUGGCAUUACAGGGGUUAUUGUUGACAUUAAGUAAUUGUUGUUCAUAUAUAGAGGUUAGUGUCGAACCACUAACAGCGAGCGAAUGAUUGGAGGUGAUGUCGUAUCGUUAUGUAAGCGUUUCUCUCCACAAGAUGGCGAUAUAAAUGUCCGAACCUAUAUGGGUGAUGGCGUACACAAAGUAGUCUGAGUACACUAUGUUCUGAUCAAAGAUGAAUACACAACAGGGUGAGGAUCGAUGCUUGAUGAGCUAUGUGUUCGUAUUUAAUGCUAGAUGGGAAAG